rnacentral:rRNA from 1 species
UACGAGGGGAGCAAGCGUUGUUCGGAUUUACUGGGCGUAAAGGGCGCGUAGGCGGCGUGACAAGUCACUUGUGAAAUCUCCGGGCUUAACUCGGAACGGUCAAGUGAUACUGUCGUGCUAGAGUACAGAAGGGGCAACUAGAAUUCUCGGUGUAGCGGUGAAAUGCGUAGAUAUCGAGAGGAACACCUGCGGCGAAGGCGGGUUGCUGGGCUGAUACUGACGCUGAGGCGCGAAAGCCAGGGGAGCGAACGGG